rnacentral:rRNA from 1 species
GAUAAACGCUGACAGAAUGCUUAACACAUGCAAGUCGAUGUGAAGCCUAAAGCUUGCUUUAAGUGGAGCAUGGCGGACGGGUGAGUAACGCGUAAAGAACUUACCUGUUAGACUGGGAUAACAUAGAGAAAUUUGUGAUAAUCCCGGAUAAGUUAGAUACCUGCAUGGGUAUCAAAUGAAAGAUUGCGCUAGCAGAGAGCUUUGCGUCCUAUUAGCUAGUUGGUAAGGUAAAGGCUUACCAAGGCGAUGAUAGGUAGCCGGCCUGAGAGGGUGAACGGCCACAAGGGGACUGAGAUACGGCCCUUACUCCUACGGGAGGCAGCAGUGGGGAAUAUUGGACAAUGGAGGAAACUCUGAUCCAGCAAUUCUGUGUGCACGAAGAAGGUCUUCGGAUUGUAAAGUGCUUUUAGUUGGGAAGAAGUAAGUGACGGUACCAACAGAAGAAGCGACGGCUAAAUACGUGCCAGCAGCCGCGGUAAUACGUAUGUCGCGAGCGUUAUCCGGAAUUAUUGGGCUUAAAGGGCAUCUAGGCGGCGUAUCAAGUUGAAGGUGAAAAGCUGUGGCUCAACCAUAGUCUUGCCUACAAAACUGUUAUGCUAGAGUACUGGAGAAGUGGGUGGAACUACACGAGUAGAGGUGAAAUUCGUAGAUAUGUGUAGGAAUGCCGAUGAUGAAGCUCACUCACUCGACAGAGACUGACGCUGAAGUGCGAAAGCUAGGGGAGCGACCAGG